rnacentral:rRNA from 1 species
AUUCAGAGUUUGAUCCUGGCUCAGAUUGAACGCUGGCGGCAGGCUUAACACAUGCAAGUCGAACGGUAACAGGGAUUAGCUUGCUAAUUUGCUGACGAGUGGCGGACGGGUGAGUAAUGCUUGGGAAUCUGGCUUAUGGAGGGGGAUAACUACGGGAAACUGUAGCUAAUACCGCGUAAUAUCGGAAGAUUAAAGGGUGGGACUUUCGGGCCACCUGCCAUAAGAUGAGCCCAAGUGGGAUUAGGUAGUUGGUUAGGUAAAGGCUGACCAAGCCGACGAUCUCUAGCUGGUCUGAGAGGAUGACCAGCCACACUGGAACUGAGACACGGUCCAGACUCCUACGGGAGGCAGCAGUGGGGAAUAUUGCACAAUGGGGGGAACCCUGAUGCCGCCAUGCCGCGUGAAUGAAGAAGGCCUUCGGGUUGUAAAGUUCUUUCGGUGACGAGGAAGGUUAAUAUGUUAAUAGCAUAUUAAAUUGACGUUAAUCACAGAAGAAGCACCGGCUAACUCCGUGCCAGCAGCCGCGGUAAUACGGGGGGUGCGAGCGUUAAUCGGAAUAACUGGGCGUAAAGGGCACGCAGGCGGUGACUUAAGUGAGAUGUGAAAGCCCCGGGCUUAACCUGGGAAUUGCAUUUCAUACUGGGUCGCUAGAGUACUUUAGGGAGGGGUAGAAUUCCACGUGUAGCGGUGAAAUGCGUAGAGAUGUGGAGGAAUACCGAAGGCGAAGGCAGCCCCUUGGAAAUGUACUGACGCUCAUGUGCGAAAGCGUG